UAGCUUUAAGAAAAUUAUUUAAGGUUUUACCUGCCCAGUGAAAAUUUUAACGGCCGCAGUACUUUGACUGUGCUAAGGUAGCAUAAUAAAUUGGCUUUUAAUUAAAGUCGGGUAUGAAAGGGAUCACGGAAAGUAACUGUCUCAAGUAUAUAUAAUUUUAAUUUAAUCAAUGGGUGAAAAUUCCCAUAGUAAUUUACAUUAGACGAGAAGACCCUAAGAGUUAUAAUUAAGAUGAGUUUAUUUUCAUGUAUCAUUUUUGUUGGGGCAACAUAGACUGGAUUAAACCGUCAUAAAUUAAUUUUACAUAACAGUUAUAUUUAAAAAGAAAUAAACUACCUUAGGGAUAACAGCAUAAUUAAUUUUUAGAUUGUGACCUCGAUGUUGGAUUAAGGACUUUGUUUACUAGCCGUAAACCAAGAUAGUUCUGUUCGAACUGUAACACCUU
rnacentral:rRNA from 1 species